rnacentral:rRNA from 1 species
ACCGGCGAUACCCGAAUGGGGAAACCCAGUGUGACUCGUCACACUAUCAUUAACUGAAUCCAUAGGUUAAUGAGGCGAACCGGGGGAACUGAAACAUCUAAGUACCCCGAGGAAAAGAAAUCAACCGAGAUUCCCCCAGUAGCGGCGAGCGAACGGGGAGGAGCCCAGAGCCUGAAUCAGCAUGUGUGUUAGUGGAAGCGUCUGGAAAGGCGCGCGAUACAGGGUGACAGCCCCGUACACAAAAGCGCAUGUGCUGUGAGCUCGAUGAGUAGGGCGGGACACGUGGUAUCCUGUCUGAAUAUGGGGGGACCAUCCUCCAAGGCUAAAUACUCCUGACUGACCGAUAGUGAACCAGUACCGUGAGGGAAAGGCGAAAAGAACCCCGGCGAGGGGAGUGAAAAAGAACCUGAAACCGUGUACGUACA